rnacentral:rRNA from 1 species
UACGUAGGAGGCGAGCGUUGUCCGGAUUUACUGGGCGUAAGGCGCGCGCAGGCGGCACACUAAGUACGAUGUGAAAUCUCCCUGCUCAACGGGGAGGGUGCAUAGUAAACUGGUGAGCUAGAGGACGGUAGAGGGGGGUGGAAUUGCUGGUGUAGCGGUGAAAUGCGUAGAGAUCAGUAGGAACACCCGUGGCGAAGGCGGCCCCCUGGGCCGAACCUGACGCUGAGGCGCGAAGGCUAGGGGAGCGAACGGG